rnacentral:rRNA from 1 species
UGAUCAGCCACACUGGAACUGGAACACGGUCCAGACUCCUACGGGAGGCAGCAGUGAGGAAUUUUGCGCAAUGGGGGAAACCCUGACGCAGCAACGCCGCGUGAGUGAAGAAGGCCCUUGGGUCGUAAAGCUCUGUCGACGGGGAAGAAAUUGCAUCAUAUUAAUAGUAUGUAGCAUUGACGGUACCUGUAGAGGAAGCACCGGCUAACUCCGUGCCAGCAGCCGCGGUAAUACGGGGGGUGCAAGCGUUAUUCGGAAUUAUUGGGCGUAAAGGGCGCGUAGGCGGUCUUGUCGGUCAGAUGUGAAAGCCCGGGGCUCAACCCUGGAAGUGCAUUUGAAACAGCAAGACUUGAGUACGGGAGAGGAGAGCGGAAUUCCUGGUGUAGAGGUGAAAUUCGUAGAUAUCAGGAGGAACACCGAUGGCGAAGGCAGCUCUCUGGACCGAUACUGACGCUGAGGCGCGAAGGUGCGGGUAGCGAACAGGAUUAGAUACCCUGGUAGUCCACACAGUAAACGUUGUUCACUCGGUGUGUCGGAUAUUAAAAUCUGAUGUGCCCAAGCUAACGUGGUAAGUGAACCGCCUGGGGAGUACGGUCGCAAGACUAAAACUCAAAGGAAUUGACGGGGGCCCGCACAAGCGGUGGAGCAUGUGGUUUAAUUCGACGCAACGCGAAGAACCUUACCUGGAUUUGACAUCCUGUGAAUCCCUCAGAGACGAGGGAGUGCCUUCGGGAACACAGUGACAGGUGUUGCAUGGCUGUCGUCAGCUCGUGUCGUGAGAUGUUUGGUUAAUUCCAGCAACGAGCGCAACCCUUAUCGUUAGUUGCCAGCACGUAAUGGUGGGAACUCUAGCGAGACUGCCCCGGUUAACGGGGAGGAAGGUGGGGAUGACGUCAAGUCCUCAUGGCCCUUAUAUCCAGGGCUACACACGUGCUACAAUGGUAAGUACAGAGGGCAGCAAGCCAGUGAUGGUUAGCUAAUCCCUAAAGCUUAUCUCAGUCCGGAUUGGAGUCUGCAACUCGACUCCAUGAAGUUGGAAUCGCUAGUAAUCGCGGAUCAGCAUGCCGCGGUGAAUAUGUUCCCGGGCCUUGUACACACCGCCCGUCACACCAUGAGAGUUGAUUAUACCCGACGUCGUUGGGCUAACCCUUCGGGAGGCAGGCGCCUAAGGUAUGGUUGAUAAUUGGGGUGAAGUCGUAACAAGGUA